UUGAGCCUUGGUGGUCCCGCCCGCGUACCGGAAGCUCUGGGCGCGGAGGUGUCCGGAAGCUCUCUCUGGGCGCGGAGGUGUGCGGUUGCUGUCUCUGGGCGCGGAGGUGUGCGGAAUUUCACGGUUUCUCGAGAGGGAGAAAGAGAUUGCACACGUGCACUAGGUGGGGAGGACAGAGGAAGAAGGAGAGAGAGAAUUCCAAGGAGGCUGCAGGCUAUCAGCGCCGUCCGCGCAGACGCGACACAAGCCUGAGUCCCGUGAGCCGCUAGAUGAUGACCUCAGCCGAAAUCCAGAGUGGAACACUCAACCGCUUAACCAACUGAGCCAGCCAGGUGCCCCAGUGAGCCUUUGAUUCUCAGGAAGACCUCUUUCACUGUUUCCAGUGUUUCAAAGUGGAAUUUUAAAAAGUGUUCGAGGGGAAGAUGGCGGCAUAGGAGGACGCUGGGCUCAGCUCGUCCUGCUGAUCACUUAGAUUCC